rnacentral:lncRNA from 1 species
GUUCAAACUGUCUGUUUAAUACGAGUAGCCAAUCAGGGAAAAAAAGCUGGGUUAAAGGAAGGGGGAGGAGCCAAAAUCCUUGUUUCAGACAGUAGAUAAAGUAAGGAAAUUGGAAUCAUGUAAAGGUGCUCUAGUAGAGUGAAAGAAAAGAAACAAAGAGGUGAAAUUUGUCAUAAAAUAUCCCAUUUCAGCAGAGAUCCCUGGUGUGAACAUGUGCUUGGUUUUUGGAGUUGGCAGUGACGGUAAACUGAAAAUCUUUAGUUUUUACUCAGCCAAUUUCAAAUAUAUUUUACACAGUCAUUAGUGAAUAAUCAUGGGCAAUUAAAAAACACCUGUUAAAAAAAAACAACAAUAGCUUAAUUAAUCAAUUGAUAUAAAGAAUGACAGGAAUAUCAUUAUGUGUGCCUAUGCCAAGAGGCACACAUAUUACUAUUCCUCAGAUUUAUUAUUCUUAUUAUUAUGUGUGCCUAUGCCAAGAGGCACACAUAUUACUAUUCGUCGGAUUUAUUAUUAUUAUUAUGUGUGCCUAUGCCAAGAGGCACACAUAUUACUAUUCCUCGGAUUUAUUAUUAUUUAUUAUUAUGUGUGCCUAUGCCAAGAGGCACACAUAUUACUAUUCGUCGGAUUUAUUAUUAUUAUUAUUAUUAUUAUUAUUAUUAUUAUUAUGUGUGCCUAUGACAAGAGGCACACAUAUUACUAUUCGUCGGAUUUAUUAUGUGUGCCUAUGCCAAGAGGCACACAUAUUACUAUUCCUCGGAUUUAUUAUUAUUAUUAUUAUUAUUAUGUGUGCCUAUGCCAAGAGGCACACAUAUUACUAUUCCUCGGAUUUAUUAUUAUUAUUAUUAUGUGUGCCUAUGCCAAGAGGCACACAUAUUACUAUUCCUCGGAUUUAUUAUUCUUAUUAUGUGUGCCUAUGCCAAGAGGCACACAUAUUACUAUUCCUCGGAUUUAUUAUUAUGUGUGCCUAUGCCAAGAGGCACACAUAUUACUAUUCGUCGGAUUUAUUAUUCUUAUUAUUAUUAUUAUUAUUCUCCAUCUUCCGCCUAAAUUUCGGCACGUAUCACGCCCCGCAGUUUUGAGAAAAGCUUCAUAUAUGUUACCUCAUUUUGUGCGGCUGGAUCUGGAAUGGUGUGCUAUGACUUUUGGUGUUUAUGACUAUUAUAGUUUUUUAAAUAUUAAUAUUUUAGUGAAAAUUUUCCCGCGCUCCUCUGCCAAACAGUUUUGACAAUAGGGGUACAUAUGUUACAUCAUUUGUGCGGCUGGAGCUGGGCUAGUAUGGUGUG